UUUAAUUUUAAAAUUAUGUGGAUCGUCGGAUUGGUUGAGAUUUAAAUCUCAAAUCGUUGUUUUAUAAUUAACCCUAGUAACCUCACUCUCACCUCACCUCACCCUCACUGUCUCUCUCACCCGAUUCGCCUCCUCCACCCAAAUCCAAAUCGAGCCCUCCAUCUUCCUCUGUCCUCCCACAUCAGUGGGAUCACCCAAAUUCGUCGCCUGAAUCGUGACUCCACCCACACCGGUCCUCAAUCCUCAGUCUUCACUUCGUGAAUUCGUCCCCUGAAUCACGAUUCCACCCACUGUCCACACCACCUCGCCCAAAUCGAGCUCUCGGUCAUAGUCCUCACUCACUCCACCUCACUCCACAAGUUUCUCGAUGACUAGUUUGGUUGACCCGAUCCAACUCAUAUUGGAGCGGUUUGGGGCCUUGUUCUCUCUGUCUCCGCAACCUCAAAGGCCAUGCCCUUGUCACGCCCCCAUUGCCGGUGACCAUGAGCUGAAUGUAUUAUCUCCAACCCAAAAGUUACUUUUACAACCCGAAGUGAGGAAUAUGAAUCUUUGAGAUGGCUGAUCUGGAACUUGUAGCAAAAAUUUGAUGAGGUGCAAGGCCUGCUGGGAAGAUGCAUCUGUCCAAAAAUGUUUGCUUUCAAGUUUUUUGUUUGUAUUAGAGAGAAAAUAUGUAACACUACAAUAUAUGUUUGUGAGAUUUAGAAAGUGAAAGUUGGUUUCAUGGUUGUAGGUUUUCUUCAAUUCAUGAAAUUUAAAAUUUUUGCAUUUCCUCAAUUUAGUUUCAAUUUUUCAAAUUUUGAUUUUUUUUUAUUA
rnacentral:sRNA from 1 species